rnacentral:rRNA from 1 species
ACUCCUACGGGAGGCAGCAGUGGGAAUAUUGCACAAUGGGAAGCCAUCGAUGCAGCCAUGCCGCGCUGUGUGAAGAAGGCCAAUUCGGGCUUGGUUAAAGACACUUUCAGUAGGGAGGAAGGUAGUGUAGUUAACACCUGCAUUAUUUGACGUUACCUACAGAAGAAGCACCGGCUAACUCCGUGCCAGCAGCCGCGGUAAUACGGAGGGUGCGAGCGUUAAUCGGAAUUACUGGGCGUAAAGCGCAUGCAGGCGGCCUGUUAAGUCAGAUGUGAAAGCCCGGGCUUAACCUCGGAAUUGCAUUUGAAACUGGCAGGCUAGAGUCUUGUAGAGGGGUGAGAAUUGAUCGAGGUGUAGCGGUGAAAUGCAGUAGAGAUCUGAAGG